UUUCCUCCCUCAGGUCUUGACAAGGUGAUGGCUUUUGGAGGAUGGAGGUUCUCAAUGUCAUCUGUAUGCUGUACCAGAUACCACGGCUUCUGUCAAUCACUGCUUGUGAACCUCCUCCAUCAACUGAUUCUGCACUUCACAGAUGCUUGAGGAAGACAGCUGCAAACACAAAGCUGUCCCUGAUUAUAAAGUGCUGUGUUCAAUCCUUGAUGGAAAGGAAUGCUUCAGAAUUGCCUCACUACAAUGUGUUUCCUAUCUAGAGUCUUGCUCUGGUUCAGGUCCUGCUCUUCUCCAGUUGACCUCUGGAGGUAG